rnacentral:rRNA from 1 species
CUACGGGCGGCUCCAGUGAGGAAUAUUGGUCAAUGGGCGCAAGCCUGAACCAGCCACUCCGCGUGUAGGAUGACUGCCCUAUGGGUUGUAAACUACUUUUAUACAGGAAGAAACCUCCUUACGUGUAGGGAGCUGACUGUACUGUAAGAAUAAGCAUCGGCUAACUCCGUGCCAGCAGCCGCGGUAAUACGGAGGAUGCAAGCGUUAUCCGGAUUUAUUAGGUCUAAAGGGUUCGUAGGCGGAUGAUUAAGUCAGUGGUGAAAUCCUACAGCUUAACUGUAGAACUGCCAUUGAUACUGGUUGUCUUGAGUAUAGUUGAGGUAGGCGGAAUGUGUAGUGUAGCGGUGAAAUGCUUAGAUAUUACACAGAACACCGAUUGCGAAGGCAGCUUACUAAGCUAUUACUGACGCUAAGGAACGAAAGCGUGGGGAGCGAACAGGAUUAGAUACCCGUGUAGUC